ACUCAAAGGAAUAGACGGGGGCCCGCACAAGCGGUGGAGCAUGGGGUUUAAUUCGUCACUAACCGAAGAACCUUACCCAGGCUUGACAUCCCCUGACAACCCGAGAAACCGGGCCUUCCCGCAAGGGACAGGGAGACAGGUGUUGCAUGGCUGUCGUCAGCUCGUGUCGUGAGAUGUUGGGUUAAGUCCCGCAACGAGCGCAACCCUCACCCCGUGUUGCCAGCCGAGAGGCGCACUCACGGGGAACUGCCGGGGCAACCCGGAGGAAGGCGGGGAUGACGUCAAGUCGGCAUGGCCCUUACGCCUGGGGCUACACCCAUGCUACAAUGGGGCGGACAGAGGGCUGCGAUGGGGCGACCCGGAGCCAAUCCCAAAAACCGCUCCCCAAUUGGGAUCGGAGUCUGCAACUCGACUCCGUGAACGUGGAAUCGCUAGUAAACGCCGGUCAGCCAAACGGCGUUGAAUCCGUUCCCGGGCCUUGUACACACCGCCCGU
rnacentral:rRNA from 1 species